rnacentral:rRNA from 1 species
UACGUAGGGGGCAAGCGUUGUCCGGAUUUAUUGGGCGUAAAGAGCGUGUAGGCGGCCUUACAGGUCAGCUGUGAAAACUCGAGGCUCAACCUCGAGACGUCGGUUGAAACCGUAUGGCUAGAGUCCGGAAGAGGAGAGUGGAAUUCCCGGUGUAGCGGUGAAAUGCGCAGAUAUCGGGAAGAACACCCGUGGCGAAGGCGGGUCUCUGGGCCGAUACUGACGCUGAGGAGCGAAAGCGUGGGGAGCGAACAGG